AUUGAACGCUGGCGGCAGGCCUAACACAUGCAAGUCGAACGAGUGGCGGACGGGUGAGUAAUGUCUGGGAAACUGCCCGAUGGAGGGGGAUAACUACUGGAAACGGUAGCUAAUACCGCAUACCAUCGGAUGUGCCCAGAUGGGAUUAGCUAGUAGGUGGGGUAAUGGCUCACCUAGGCGACGAUCCCUAGCUGGUCUGAGAGGAUGACCGGCCCAACUGGAACUGAGACACGGUCCGGACUCCUACGGGGGGCGGCAGUGGGGAAUAUUGCACAAUGGGCGAAAGCCUGAUGCAGCCAUGCCGGGUGUAUGAAGAAGGCCUUCGGGUUGUAAAGUACUUUCAGCGAGGAGGCGUUACUCGCAGAAGAAGCACCGGCUAACUCCGGGCCAGCAGCCGCGUAAUUC
rnacentral:rRNA from 1 species